rnacentral:rRNA from 1 species
GUCUUAGCUUGCUAAGGCUGAUGGCGACCGGCGCACGGGUGAGUAACACGUAUCCAACCUGCCGUCUACUCUUGGCCAGCCUUCUGAAAGGAAGAUUAAUCCAGGAUGGCGUCAUGAGUUCACAUGUCCGCAUGAUUAAAGGUAUUUUCCGGUAGACGAUGGGGAUGCGUUCCAUUAGAUAGUAGGCGGGGUAACGGCCCACCUAGUCAACGAUGGAUAGGGGUUCUGAGAGGAAGGUCCCCCACAUUGGAACUGAGACACGGUCCAAACUCCUACGGGAGGCAGCAGUGAGGAAUAUUGGUCAAUGGGCGAUGGCCUGAACCAGCCAAGUAGCGUGAAGGAUGACUGCCCUAUGGGUUGUAAACUUCUUUUAUAAAGGAAUAAAGUCGGGUAUGCAUACCCGUUUGCAUGUACUUUAUGAAUAAGGAUCGGCUAACUCCGUGCCAGCAGCCGCGGUAAUACGGAGGAUCCGAGCGUUAUCCGGAUUUAUUGGGUUUAAAGGGAGCGUAGAUGGAUGUUUAAGUCAGUUGUGAAAGUUUGCGGCUCAACCGUAAAAUUGCAGUUGAUACUGGAUGUCUUGAGUGCAGUUGAGGCAGGCGGAAUUCGUGGUGUAGCGGUGAAAUGCUUAGAUAUCACGAAGAACUCCGAUUGCGA